rnacentral:lncRNA from 1 species
UUGUGAGACUUGAUCAAAUAUUGUUUAAUUUUUGGGAAUUCAAUAUUCAUGCAAUUUCAUAUUUAAUUCUCAUAUUAUUUUGUUAUUGAGAUCUACGUUGAUUUUUUAUUGCAAAAUAAUUAUUUGUUAGUUUGAAUAAUUUAAGUCCGUAAUUGCUUGGGUUAUUCUUAUAUGAGAACACUUUGGAUAAAACCCAAGAAAGUUGUAUGAUCUAGCGUUAUCUCCAUACGUUUGGGUAGUUAGGAUUGGAUCUCUCUAUUUCUUAAUGCAAUUGACAAUUGUUUUGAUGCCUAAGGCCCAAGGACGUUCCUUGACAAUUUGUUAAUUAGUAAUUAAUUAGAGGACGUUCCCUAAUUGGUUUAAUCAUAAGGAGAGAUAAUGGUGGUGAGAAGCGUCUUCCAUCUCCAUAAAUAAUCUAUUGAAUCAACCCAAAAGAACAAAGUGUCUGUGAUCAAUCCCAACAACUAAAGUGGAUCCAAUACUUCAACUAGAGCUUUCUCAUUAUUGAUUACUUUUUAUUUAAUUAUUUGCUUUCCAUUAUUUUUCUCAUUAUUAGUUUACUACAAUCAAUCUCAAACCCCCCUGUUAUUUUGUUGACAGUUUUGAUCCCAAUUUUCAAUUUAUCUCAUUUGAUCCCAC